UACGUAGGGGGCAAGCGUUGUCCGGAUUUAUUGGGCGUAAAGCGCUCGCAGGUGGUUCGUUGCGUCGUGCGUGAAAGACCCCGGCUCAACUGGGGAGGGUCGUGCGAUACGGGCGAACUGGAGGCCAGUAGGGGGAUGCGGAAUUCCGGGUGUAGUGGUGGAAUGCGUAGAGAUCCGGAGGAACACCAGCGGCGAAGGCGGCAUCCUGGACCAAUUCUGACGCUGAGGAGCGAAAGCCAGGGGAGCAAACGGG
rnacentral:rRNA from 1 species